rnacentral:rRNA from 1 species
UGAGGAAUGUUGGUCAAUGGACGAGAGUCUGAACCAGCCAAGUAGCGUGAAGGAUGACUGCCCUAUGGGUUGUAAACUUCUUUUAUACGGGAAUAAAGUUCAGCACGUGUGCUGUUUUGUAUGUACCGUAUGAAUAAGGAUCGGCUAACUCCGUGCCAGCAGCCGCGGUAAUACGGAGGAUCCGAGCGUUAUCCGGAUUUACUGGGUGUAAAGGGAGCGUAGACGGAGCAGCAAGUCUGAUGUGAAAGGCAGGGGCUCAACCCUGGACUGCAUUGGAAACUGUUGAUCUUGAGUACCGGAGGGUAAGCGGAAUUCCUAGUGUAGCGGUGAAAUGCGUAGAUAUUAGGAGGAACACCAGUGGCGAAGGCGACUUACUGGACUGUAACUGACGCUGAGGCACGAAAGCGUGGGGUAGCAAACAGGAUUAGAUACC